GCUGGGUGUGGUGGCUCACCCCUGUAAUCCCAGCAUUUUGGGAGGCUGAGGCAGGUGGAUCACUUGAGGUCAGGAGUUCAAGGCCAGCCUGGUCAACAUGGUGAAACCCUGUCUCUACUAAAAUACAAAAAUUAGCCGGGCAUUACAGGUGGUGGGCACCUGUAAUCCCAGCUACUCGGGAGGCUGAGGCAGGAGAAUCGCUUGAACCCAGGAGGUGGAGGUUUCAGUGAGCAUGACAGCACCACUGUACUCAGCCUGGGCAACAGAGUGAGACUUUGUCUCA
rnacentral:sRNA from 1 species